AGACACAAAACAACUCU
rnacentral:miRNA from 1 species